rnacentral:rRNA from 1 species
UACGUAGGGUGCGAGCGUUAAUCGGAAUUACUGGGCGUAAAGCGUGCGCAGGCGGUUUUGUAAGCCAGAUGUGAAAUCCCCGGGCUUAACCUGGGAACUGCAUUGGUGACUGGCAGGCUAGAGUAUGGCAGAGGGGGGUAGAAUUCCACGUGUAGCAGUGAAAUGCGUAGAGAUGUGGAGGAAUACCGAUGGCGAAGGCAGCCCCCUGGGCCAAUACUGACGCUCAUGCACGAAAGCGUGGGGAGCAAACGAGG